rnacentral:lncRNA from 1 species
UUUUUUAUUUUAAUAUAACGUAAACGUAUGUACAUCAAGUUGCAUUAUAAUUACAACUUUCAUUAACAUGCGUACAUUAACUAUCAAUAUUCAAAAACGAGAAGUAUCAUAAAAUGUAUAAAUCUUCUUAAGCAAGCAAAUCGUAGGGAUAUUCCUGGUCAAACAAUACAAAUAAAAACAAUACUUAGCAAUAGACUAAAAACGACUAGCUUUGAGCUGUUAUAUCCUAACUUAGAAAAUCGGCGGAACUACAAUAACUUAAGAUGUGUUCUUAAACUAUAUAAUAAUGGAACGCUUAUAGAGAAACAAUAGAAACCUUUUCAAUAGAUCUGUAUAGCUAUUUACUAUUGGAUACCUAAAAUACACGUUUCUCUGAAUAAAUUUUCGUAUAGAAUUCGGAUAAGAAAGUAUAAACUUUUAUACCAAAAAUAUGUAAAUUAUUUGUGUGAAUAUCCGAAGGUCACGUGACCUUAAUAGUUCUUAAAACUGAAUAGUGUCUUUUAUUGUAUAAUUAAAUUAAAGACUCUGGUAACGAGUCGUUAAGUAUAUUUUGUCAACAGAAAUUGAUUCAGAAUAUUGACUUUAAAGACUCGAAAAAGCUUUUUAAAUAAGCUAACCUUUAAAAUGUAUCACGUUGUUUUUACAAUGGAAAAAGUCAGAAAGACUUCUAAAUUUGCUUUAUUAGAGUAGUUUGUAACUUGGCUUUGUAGAUUGCCUAUGCCCAUGAACCAACUAAAACAAUGCAAUACGCACGCUCUUUUAUACCUAAAUUUCGACUAGAAAAUCAUGUUUCGACUCUAAAAACGUCUAUGACACGUUUAACGACAAUCGAUACUUGCUUUACGGCAAUUGUACUAAAAUAAAAAAGUUGACCUUUCAAUGUAAACAAUCGUACAAAAUUAAUUGACCAGGUAUCCCUACGAAGCAAUGAUAAAUGUGCACGAUAUGGAAAUAAUGUUACAUGUUAACUCAUCUUAACAAUGAAGUUUCAAAUCACGGAAAUAAUCAGA